rnacentral:rRNA from 1 species
GCGUAACGCGUGGGAAUCUGCCCUUGGGUUCGGAAUAACAGUUGGAAACGACUGCUAAUACCGGAUGAUAUCGAAAGAUCAAAGAUUUAUCGCCCAGGGAUGAGCCCGCGUAGGAUUAGCUAGUUGGUGAGGUAAAGGCUCACCAAGGCGACGAUCCUUAGCUGGUCUGAGAGGAUGAUCAGCCACACUGAGACUGAGACACGGCCCAGACUCCUACGGGAGGCAGCAGUAGGGAAUAUUGGACAAUGGGCGCAAGCCUGAUCCAGCAAUGCCGCGUGAGUGAUGAAGGCCUUAGGGUUGUAA